rnacentral:rRNA from 1 species
UACGUAGGGGGCGAGCGUUGUCCGGAUUUACUGGGCGUAAAGCGCGUGUAGGUGGUUGUCCAAGUUGGAUGUGAAAGCCUUGAGCUCAACUCAAGAAAUGCAUUCAGGACUGGAUGGCUAGAGGACCGGAGAGGAUAGUGGAAUUCCCAGUGUAGUGGUGAAAUACGUAGAGAUUGGGAAGAACACCAGUGGCGAAGGCGGCUAUCUGGACGGUUUCUGACACUAAGACUCGAAAGCGUGGGGAGCAAACAGG